rnacentral:ncRNA from 1 species
AAGGCCUGAUGUGUGUGAGAUUACCCGCUGAAUUUAAGCAUAUAAGUAAGCGGAGGAAAAGAAACUAACUAGGAUUCCCUUAGUAAUGGCGAAUGAACAGGGAUCAGCUCAGUGCCAAAUCGGAAUCACUUGUGGUUCUGAAAUGUGGCUUGAAGGCAGUACCAGUGGCAUCGCGGACGAAAGUCUCUUGGAAAAGAGCGUCAUAGAGGGUGAGAAUCCCGUGAGUCGUUCGCCGUUUGUCACGUACGGUCUGCGUUCUAACGAGUCGCGUUCCUUGGGAUUGGAGCGUAAACGGGUGGUAAAUUUCAUCCAAAGCAAAAUAUAUACUCGAGACCGAUAGCACAAAAGUACCGUGAGGGAAAGGUGAAAAGAACUUUGAGAAGAGGGUUAAAUAGUGCCUGAAAUCGUUGAGAAGGAAGCGGAUGCCGCCGUUGCAUAUGCUGAUUGUAGGAUUGCUGCUCGCUCCUGUCUUCUGCUACUCAUUCACAGACCUGGUCGUGUUGAGCAGUUGUUUGGCAGAUGUUAGUGGUGUUUCCUACUCUCAGUCGUCAGCAUCACUGGCUGAGUG